AACGCGAAGAACCUUACCAAGCCUUGACAUCCUUCUGACCGUCCCUUAACCGGGAUUUUCCUUCGGGGCAGGAGAGACAGGUGGUGCAUGGUUGUUGUCAGCUCGUGUCGUGAGAUGUUGGGUUAAGUCCCGCAACGAGCGCAACCCCUAUCUUCAGUAGCCAGCAGGUAAGGCUGGGCACUCUGGACAGACUGCCGGGGAUAACCCGGAGGAAGGCGGGGAUGACGUCAAAUCAUCAUGCCCCUUAUGGCUUGGGCUACACACGUGCUACAAUGGCGGUAACAAAGGGAAGCGACCCUGCGAAGGCAAGCAAACCCCAAAAAAGCCAUCCCAGUUCGGAUUGCAGUCUGCAACUCGAGUCGCGUGAGGGCGAGCCCCGGGUAGUCGCGAAUCACAUUGAU
rnacentral:rRNA from 1 species